CAGUUGAUUGGGAGGAAGUCCGAAGGUUUGCUCAUUGAUUGGGGCAAGCCGCUGUCCAUCUUCCCGCCCGGCCGCACCGUUGUGGGGAGGAGGAGGCGGCGAAGCCGAGGGGGCGGGGCCCCUGGGAAGCUCCGCCCCGGCGGUGCCACUCAGUGCGGGCUGCCAGGCUCCAGCAUGCCAGGGUCUGCACCUCCAGGAGCCUGUAGAGGACCCGGGAGAUGAACUGGGGGGCAUUUGUUGCACUCUCUAGUAAAUGCCGAAUCCCAUUUGUGCAGCAGUCCAGCAGGGGUUUCAACUGUACUAGUGAGGCACCCGCACUUGCCUUCCUGAGGUAAAGCCCAUGCCCCCUCGCCCCUAACUGACCAGCACCACUUCGGAUGUCAUUACGUCAUGGGAUGAACCCCCGCCUCCCUUCCCCCCAUUAGACUCAUGCAGCGCUGGUGCGACACCCUUGAAUUCAUCCUGUGGUCCCCAGUGGAGGAGCGCCUUGCUAGAUACCUCAGAGCAAAGCAACAAGUACAAACGCAGCUUCACCCAACAAAAAAGAAAAAACAUUGGUGGGAGAAAAACGCUCCUGAGCCUCAGGCUGAUGAAGCACCCCUGGACUUUCACUUAAUUUUAACCAGGGAACAGCUUUGUAUGUUUUGAAAAAGUAUUUUAUCUAACCAAAGGCAUAGAGUUGGUUGUUUAGGCUGGGGGAGAUCGCUUGUUGCUUAGUUGCUUAAUUGCUGGCCUCGCUAGAAGGAAAGCUGUAUCAACAAAGUCUGGAGCUGGAAGGGGGGUUACUUGCUGGGCUUGCUAUACAUUUCAUCACAUCAGCAAGUUUAACCUGUUACGUAGCUAUACAAGGCAGACACCCACUGGGGUGUGUGUGCUUGCUUUGCGAACAAUUGCCAAGCACCACUUUCUGAGCAGAAAUAAAGAUUAAGUUGGAUCCUUCACCCCUUUGUGUUUAUUGGUACAAGCACACCGGGCACAAACUCACUGUCCUUUGGGGACAACAAUUUCUGGCGACCCAGGUGGGACCCUAGCUGACUGCCUUGCCCAGUCCACCUCUUCGGCUCCGGCAACAACUUUGGACGGCGCAAGGGCCAGGCACCACCGACCUUAUUCAUCGGAGGUCUGACUGUCUCCUGGUUGCCUGACAGAGUCGGGGAGGGGCACAACAGCGCAACGCUCGAAGGACCAACUUAAUCAGGUGGGGCGAGGGAGGUUUCAACGGACUGGUAUGUCCAGGAACGACUUCCACUCCCUCUAGAUACACCAGUCCACAAGUUCCAGAUCGAAGACGAAGUGCUGGUCCGGACGUGAAAAGACCAGCCGCUUCAGCCCAGGUGAAAAGGACCGUAUCCUGUGAUUCUCACCACUCACGCUGCAGUGAAGGUUCAGGGGGUAAAACCGUGAAUACGCUACACUCGGGUGAAGGCCGCACCAGAAGUACCACCUGCAGGAGAAGUUGCUGAGAGUGUCGCACCGGAAGCCGACACAAACAGACACCGUUGGACAGCAGAGCCAGUAAAAGGACUUAAAUUGCUGUUUAAACGUCACCCAUGUGAAAAAUAGUUCUUUGCGUAGGUAUAAUGUUUCUAGAGUCUAAGGGGUUGGUGCAUCAAAAGUUCGAUAAGAGUCAAAAUGUGUGGGUUCAUUUGACAAAGGACAUAUUAAAUGUCACUCAUUUUUGUUUGGCAGGUGAAAUAUCGGUUAAUGAUAUUUUCACGUCAUGCCUUAUAGGGGUGCCCACUCCAAUGGAAGCACUCCGGAAUCAGACUUGGUUCACAUUUGGGGGAAUAGGAGGUCCAAUCAAUUACACUAACAACUCCAUGUGGGGAACCAUUACCACAGAAAGAAAUGCUAGUACCUUUAAAAUAGAUUUGUUGACAGUCACCUCCCCUGGUAACACCAGCUGUGCCAAUUUUGUGAACUGUACUCAAGCUUACAAAAGCCAAAACAAAAAAAACCAAAAACAAACAAACAAAAAAAACCCCCAAAAUUUUCAAUUGCUCAGACAUGACUAAUGUAUCUUAUAACUACAUUCAUGUUAUAUUACCCCGGGGGUGGUUCCUCCUUGUGGGAAGACUGCCUAUUCAUAUAUCCCAGCCAAUGCCACAGGAGGCCCUUGUGCUCUAGGCCGGUUGACUGUCUAGCUACCAGGUAUGCCUAAGACCUCUAGUAAGCGUCACCGGAGAGGUUCAAAGGUGCUAGAUAAAUCCUGUGAUAGUGACAUAAACCUCCUGAGUGAGGCCAAGGUAGUGUCCUUAGCAGUUUUCCUAGUAAGGGUGCCAGGCCUAGUAGUGAAUGCUGAGAGGCAGCUUGGUAAGGUGGCCUGUGCCCUGGCAAAGGGCCUAAAUACAACUUCACAGGCCCUAGCUGCCCUCAAUAUUGAAAUAAAAGAACUAAGAGGAGCUACUCUGCAAAAUAGAGCAGCCAUAGAUUACCUGUUGCUGAGGCAUAACCACGGAUGUGAAGAGUUCGAGGAAACGUGUUGUUUUAAUUUGACAGAUAACUCCGAGUUAAUAGAGUCAAAAGUGCAGAAGUUAAAAAAGGGUCUGUCCCACAUUAAGCAAGGGGAAGGGUUCGACUUCUCAUAGCUUACUUCUUGGCUCCCUAAUUUUUCAUGGCUUAAGCAAAUUUUCCUAUUAAUUGUGGCAAGUAUGUGUAUUUUCUUGAUGAUCUGUUGUGGGGUACAGUGUGUGCCACUGUGUUGUGAGGUACUCAAGAAAUCAAUUUCUUCCCCCGUUCACCGUGUGAUGUUUAUAAAAUCAUCAGUUACAAACCCGAUCCAAAAUAAUCGGGAGGAAGCGAAGAGAUUUCUGGAAAUAAAAAAAAUAGUCGAGGACUAUGGGCUUUUUCCAUAAAGGCCAUAGCCUCGAAGGGGGGAUUUGAUGAAGCACCCCUGGACUUUCACUUAAUUUUAACCAGGGAACAGCUUUGUAUGUUUUGAAAAAGUAUUUUAUCUAACCAAGGGCAUAGAGUUGGUUGUUUAGGCUGGGGGAGAUCGCUUGUAGCUUAGUUGCUUAAUUGCUGGCCUCGCUAGAAGGAAAGCUGUAUCAACAAAGUCCGGAGCUGGAAGGGGGGUUACUUGCUGGGCUCGCUAUACAUUUCAUCACAUCAGCAAGUUUAACCUGUUACGUAGCUAUAUAAGGCAGACACCCACUGGGGUGUGUGUGCUUGCUUUGCGAACGAUUGCCAAGCACCACUUUCUGCGCAGAAAUAAAGAUUAAGUUGGAUCCUUCA